rnacentral:rRNA from 1 species
GACGAACGCUGGCGGCGUGCUUAACACAUGCAAGUCGAACGGAAAGGCCCUGCUUUUGUGGGGUGCUCGAGUGGCGAACGGGUGAGUAACACGUGAGUAACCUGCCCUUGACUUUGGGAUAACUUCAGGAAACUGGGGCUAAUACCGGAUAGGAGCUCCUGCUGCAUGGUGGGGGUUGGAAAGUUUCGGCGGUUGGGGAUGGACUCGCGGCUUAUCAGCUUGUUGGUGGGGUAGUGGCUUACCAAGGCUUUGACGGGUAGCCGGCCUGAGAGGGUGACCGGCCACAUUGGGACUGAGAUACGGCCCAGACUCCUACGGGAGGCAGCAGUGGGGAAUAUUGCACAAUGGGCGGAAGCCUGAUGCAGCAACGCCGCGUGCGGGAUGACGGCCUUCGGGUUGUAAACCGCUUUCUCCUGUGACGAAGCGUGAGUGACAGUAAUGGGUAAAGAAGCACCGGCUAACUACGUG